UUCAUUCGAUGGAAGAUAAAAAUAAAUUGAUGUAAGUAACUGCUAUAUCCGAAGUGUGGUUGUAUGAAUAUUGAUUAUGUGCGAUAGGCUCAGUCACGUGACAUGAAUGACUGUGACUCCGCCCAUAAGGUCAGCGAUUGGCUGACGCGAUAAAUAUUAGCGUGGCGUGUUCAGACUUGCCCGUACUCCUGUGUUGUUAUUUGUUGCAUGAGCACGUCAGUUUCAUUAGAGUAAUAUGUUAGACGGCAGUGGAUGUGGAUCUAUCAAAAUGGUGGAAAUCAAACCUAAACCGAAGUGUUGUAGAAAUUUAUUCGGUUCACCGUCAGGAAAAGAACGUGAACACAUGAAAAAGAUUUAUUCAGAGUGUAUGAAAGAGGAUAUUAACAUCGGGAAGGAGAAGUACGAGUACGAUAUCGUUAGUGACACACCGCUAUCAGAUAGAUGGGAACUCACGACCACAGCACCAGAGUUUUAUACAAGACAAUACACAUCAAGGGAAGAACGAUUGAACCCGUUAAAGAGGAAAAUGGACGUUGAAAGGGAGCCAGAUAAUGUGGAAUCGCAAAACACAGCUACGUGCAAUAGUCGACCAUUACGACAGCAACCCCUUACAAAUUAUUUGAAAAAGAGAAAGAGAGCGGACAACUCGCUGACACCAAAACAAAUUCGGCUGUAGAUCCAGAAUUGGGUUUUUAAUACUUUCUAGUGCUAGAAACGGGAAUCUUCAAUGGAGGGAGGUCCUUUUCUCAAGCCGAGUCUAGAGGACUAAUUGCGAGGCCAGCAGGAUAAACAUGCCAAAGAGCGCCCAUUUCUUGCCAAAAUUUUCAACAUCUCCGCUAUUUUGCUUUGCGUUUGGAACCGUUUUUGUGCGGUCCCCUGAAACAGACAAGAAAUCCUGCUUAUUUCUCACCCCCCUUCAAGUGCCAGUGAAAAGAUCCGUUUCCUCAAAGAUAUUGACAGAAUAAGACUGUGUGCUCCCCUGGGGUAAAUAACCCCUAUUGGGGUAAACUGUGAAUCCUCUGGGGAGAGAAUUUAUAUAUCUAUACAUAUUUAUGUGCAAUGAACUAUUUCACAAUGACAACGUCAUUGUAAAACAUGAUCUCAUCUAUUAUUUAUUUUUUUUAUUAUGUGUCGGUUCUUUCGAAGUAAAAUACAUUAUUUGUAAAUGUCCUAUUUAUUUAUAUAAGAAAAAAGCAAAGAGAAAGAAAUUACACCUAUGAGAAAUUUAUGUUUUGCUUCAAAGUGAGACAUCUUUCUAUAUAGUAAUAUUUAUAUUCAGAUAUCCUUAUCAAAACGAAAAUUGUGUGUUUUUUGCUAUAUUUAUUUUUGUUUGUGGUAUGAAAUACCAGUGUGUAAAGAAAAAAAUAUUUGAUGGAAAAAACUUCAAAAAACGUCAAAAGGAAAGAAAACAAGUUUCUCUCAACGUAAGCCCCAUAUUAAAACUGAAAUCACAAAUCUUAAAAGAAAAUCCAUAAAAAAUGAUCUCAAUUUUCUCUCUUUAAUGUGACUACAUUUCACUGAAUUGACAUCCAAAGUGUUCAUUUUGAGUGUGCAUGGAGAUAUUUGAUGUUUGCAACCCAGUUAAUUGUUCUGUAGUAUACGUGUGUGUGCUUUCAUCUGUAAUUUUGGUGUUCAUCAAAUAGAGUAUAUAAGAAAACCCGCAGAAAAAAGUUGUUGAGAAACUUAUUGUUGUAUAAAAAAGUAAUAAAUAAAAGCUCUAAAGAAGGAA